rnacentral:rRNA from 1 species
AGUAACACGUGAGCAACCUACCUUCGAGUCGGGGAUAGCCCUGGGAAACCAGGAUUAAUACCCGAUGUGGUCACGACUGGACAUCCAGUUGUGAGUAAAGGCGAAAGCCGCUCGAUGACGGGCUCGCGGCCUAUUAGCUUGUUGGUGGGGUAACGGCCUACCAAGGCGAUGAUGGGUAGCUGGUCUGAGAGGACGACCAGCCACACUGGGACUGAGACACGGCCCAG